rnacentral:rRNA from 1 species
GAUGAACGCUGGCGGCGUGCCUAAUACAUGCAAGUCGAGCGAACAGACGAGGAGCUUGCUCCUCUGACGUUAGCGGCGGACGGGUGAGUAACACGUGGAUAACCUACCUAUAAGACUGGGAUAACUUCGGGAAACCGGAGCUAAUACCGGAUAAUAUAUUGAACCGCAUGGUUCAAUAGUGAAAGACGGUUUUGCUGUCACUUAUAGAUGGAUCCGCGCCGCAUUAGCUAGUUGGUAAGGUAACGGCUUACCAAGGCAACGAUGCGUAGCCGACCUGAGAGGGUGUUCGGCCACACUGGAACUGAGACACGGUCCAGACUCCUACGGGAGGCAGCAGUAGGGAAUCUUCCGCAAUGGGCGAAAGCCUGACGGAGCAACGCCGCGUGAGUGAUGAAGGUCUUCGGAUCGUAAAACUCUGUUAUUAGGGAAGAACAAAUGUGUAAGUAACUAUGCACGUCUUGACGGUACCUAAUCAGAAAGCCACGGCUAACUACGUG